UUAGUUUUCUUUUUGGUCUAUAUGGUCUUUUGGUUUUGUAGUUUUUUACAUAAUAUCUUCUUCUUGGUUUUUUAUAUUUAUAUUUUGAUCUGUAUUUUUUAUUAUAUUUCUUUCUAUUUUUAUAAUACUUAUCCGUACAACCAAAUUGAGGUGCUGUUUUAUUUUUGCAACAUGCCAAGUUUUUUACUAAUAUUUUUUCCAUUUUUAUUUCUUCUUUAUGUUUUUCACAUAGUUCCAUAAACCAUCGUUGUAAGAAUUUUAUUCUAGCUCCUAAGGUGUCUGUUAAUUCUGCUUCAUUCCAACUUUUUAUUACUUUUGAAUUAAAAGGUUCCGGUAAUUUUGUAAAAUAUAAUUUUCUUAUUUCUUUACUUUCUUCUAUGUUAUAUGUUCC
rnacentral:lncRNA from 1 species